rnacentral:snRNA from 1 species
GUUUUUGGUCCCAAGGCUCGCU